rnacentral:rRNA from 1 species
UACGAAGGGGGCUAGCGUUGCUCGGAAUCACUGGGCGUAAAGGGUGCGUAGGCGGGUCUUUUAAGUCAGGGGUGAAAUCCUGGAGCUCAACUCCAGAACUGCCUUUGAUACUGGCGAUCUUGAGUCCGGAAGAGGUGAGUGGAACUCCUAGUGUAGAGGUGGAAUUCGUAGAUAUUAGGAAGAACACCAGUGGCGAAGGCGGCUCACUGGUCCGGUACUGACGCUGAGGUGGCGAAAGCGUGGGGAGCAAACAGG